GUUGACCUCAGAUCAGGUAGGAAUACCCGCUGAACUUAAGCAUAUCAAUAAGCGGAGGAAAAGAAACCAACAGGGAUUGCCCUAGUAACGGCGAGUGAAGCGGCAACAGCUCAAAUUUGAAAUCUGGCGCAAGCCCGAGUUGUAAUUUGUAGAGGAUGUUUCUGGCGAAGUGCCUUCCGAGUUCCCUGGAACGGGACGCCAUAGAGGGUGAGAGCCCCGUACGGUUGGAUGCCUAGCCUCUGUGAAACUCCUUCGACGAGUCGAGUAGUUUGGGAAUGCUGCUCUAAAUGGGAGGUAUACGUCUUCUAAAGCUAAAUACCGGCCAGAGACCGAUAGCGCACAAGUAGAGUGAUCGAAAGAUGAAAAGCACUUUGAAAAGAGGGUUAAAAAGUACGUGAAAUUGUUGAAAGGGAAGCGUUCAUGACCAGACUUGGGCAGGUUGAUCAUCCGUGGUUCUCCGCGGUGCACUCUGCCUGCCCAGGCCAGCAUCAGUUCGCCCCGGGGGAUAAAGGUUUCGGGAAUGUGGCUCCUCCGGGAGUGUUAUAGCCCGUUGCGUAAUACCCUGGGGUGGACUGAGGUUCGCGCUCCGCAAGGAUGCUGGCGUAAUGGUCAUCAACGAC
rnacentral:rRNA from 1 species